UCUAAGAGACCUGUGGGGCACCAUCAAGCAUAUCAACAUUAUCAUAAUGUAAGUCCCAGUAGGAGAGCUUGUGAGAGAAGGGAGAUGAAAGAAUGUUUCAAGAAAUAAAUGCUGAAAACUUCCCAAACUUGAUGAAAAACAUUAAUCUACACAUUCAAGUAGCUCAUUAAACUCCAAGUAGAAUAAACUCAGAGAUCUACACUAAAACACAUUGUAAACUGUCAAAAUCCAAAGUCAAAGGGAGUAUCUUGGGGGCCAGCCUGGUGGCCCAGUGGUUAAGUGCACACGUUCCCCUUUGGCAGCCCAGGGUUCACUGGUUCGGAUCCUGCAUGCGGACAUGGCACCACGUGGCAAGCCAUGCUAUGGUAGGUGUCUCAUAUAUAAAGUAGAGGAAGAUGGGCGUGUAUGUUAGCUCAGGGCCAGUCUUCCCCAGAGAAAAAGAGGAGGAUUGGCAGGUGUUAGCUCAGGGCUAAUCUUCCUCGGGAAAAAAAAAAAAGAGAGAGUAUCUUGAAAACUGCAAGAAAGAAGCAACUCAUCUAGUACAAAGGAUCCUCAAUCAGAUUAACAGCUACUUUCCAAAACCACAGAGUCUAGAGAUAGUGAUAUGACAUAAUCAGAGUUCUGAAAGAGAAAACAACUGUUAACCUACAAUUCUAUAUCCAAUAAAAUUAUCCCUCAAUAAUCUAGAAAUUAUGAUAUCCCAAAUACACAAAAACUGAGAUAGUUACCUGCUAACACACUUGCCCUAUGAGAAAUGCUACGAGUAGUCCUCAGGCUGAAACAGAGAACAUGAGACAGUAACCUAGAUACACAUGAAGAAAUAAAGAAAAGCAGUAAAGAAAACUACACAGGUAAAUAUAAAAUACAGCCUUAAUGUAAUUUUUAUUCAUAACUACAUUUUUUUUUCUUAUCUCAUUUAAAAGACAACUGCAUAAAUCAAUAAUUGCAAAUACGUAUUGGGCAAACAAUGUAUAAAGAUGUAGUUCGUGAAAAUAACAGAAUAAAGGGAAAAUGAAGAUAUAUAGGAGCAAAUUUUUUGUAUAUAAUUGAAAUUAAGUUGGUAUUAAUCUGAUCUAUAUUGUUAUAGAUAAAGAUGUUAACUGUAAUUGCCAGAGUAACGACUAAGAAAAUAACUAAAAAAUAUAUAAUACAGAUGUUGAUAAGGAAAUUAAAGUGGUACACUAGAAGCUGUAUAUUCGAUACAAAAAGGCAGUCACGGAGGACUUGAACGAAAAGUAUACAAGACAUAAAGAAAAAACAUCAUACUGGUAGAAAUAAAUCUUUCCAUAUAAGUAGUUACAUUGAAUGUAAAUGGACCACUCUUUCCAAUUAAAAGGCAGAGAUUGACAAAAUGGAUUAAAAAAAUAUGAUCUAACUAUGUGCUGCCUAUAAGAGACUUGAAAUUCAAAGAUACAAAUAGAUUGAAAGUAAAGGAUGCUAAAAGAUAUUCUAGGCAUACAGUAAGAACAAGGGAGCUGACUAUACUAGUAUCAUAAAAAAUAAACUUUAAGACAAAAAUUAUUACUAGAGACAAAAAGGGACCCUAUAAAUCAUAACAAGGUCAAUCCAUUAAGAAGAUAUAAUAAUUAUUAACAUACAUGCAGUUAAAAACAGGGUUCCAAAACACAUGCUGCUAAAGCUUUCCUAAUUGAAGGCGGAAAUAGUUCAACAUUAAUAGAUAGCACCUUUAAAGUUCAACCGCACUUUAAGUAGUGAAUACAACAAAUAGAGAGAGGAUAAGCACGGAAACGAAGACUGUGACAAUAGUACAAACCAAGUAGAACUAACAGAGAUUUACAGAAAACUCCACCUAUCAACAUUAGAAUUUACAUUUUUCUCAAAUAUACAUGGAAUAUUCUAUAAGACAGACCAUAUGUUAGUUCAUAAAACAAGUAUCAAUAAAUUUGAAAAUAUUGAAAUCACAUAAAUUAUGCUCUUGACUACAAUCAAAUGAAGUUAGAAAUCAACUACAGAAGGAAAUUUAGAACUUAAAUAUGUGGAAAUUAAACAUACUCCUAAAUAACUACUGAAUCAAAGUAGAAUUCAAAAGAAUUCAAAAUACUUUGAGAUGAACAAAAAUGAAAACAAAGCUUAUGAAAAUUUAUGGUAUGCAGAGAAUAGUGCUCAGAGGGAAAUUUAUAGCUAGAAAUAGGCACAUUAAAAAAAUUUUCAGGGGGCCGGCCCUGCAACUGAGAGGUUAAGUUUGUGUUCUCUGCUUCGGUGGCCCAGGAUUUUGCUGGUUCAGAUCCUGGACGUCGACAUGGCUCCCCUCGUCAGACCAUGCUGAGGCAGCAUCCCACGUAGCACAACCAGAGAGACCUACAACUAGAAUAUACAACUAUUUACUGGGGGGCUUUGGGGAGAAAAAGAAGAAGAAGAUUGGCAACAGUUGUUAGCUCAGGUGCCAAUCUUAAAAUAAAAAAAAAGAGAAACUCAAGGAUACUUGGAAAAACAUUUAAAAUAUAAGAGAGAGAGUUAAAAAGUGUUGGUGUGAUCUCAUAAAAACAAAAAAUUCAAAUCAAUAACCUAACCUUCUAUUUUAAGAAACUAGAGAAAAAAGAAUAUUAAACACAAAACAAGAAAAAUAGAAAUAAUAAAUUAACAGUGAAAAUGAAUGAAAGAGAAUAGCAAAACAAGAGAAAAACAAAUGAAAUCAAAAGUUGGUUCUUUUAAAAGAUCAAAAAAGUUCACAAACCUUUGAGUAGACUGACCAAGAGAAAAAAAAAAAA
ensembl:lncRNA